rnacentral:misc_RNA from 1 species
AAUGUCGUAACAAGGUUUCCGUAGGUGAACCUGCGGAAGGAUCAUUAACGAGUUUUGAAACGGGUUGUAGCUGGCCUUCCCGAGGCAUGUGCACGCCCUGCUCAUCCACUCUUACCCCUGUGCACUUACUGUAGGCUUCAGGCGCGCCGCGGCUUUCAACGCCGUGACGUUACUGGGUCUACGUUUUAACUACCAACUACAAACGUAUCAGAAUGUGUAUUGCGAUGUAACGCAUCUAUAUACAA